rnacentral:tRNA from 2 species
GGGGCUAUAGCUCAGUUGGUAGAGCGCCUGCAUGGCAUGCAGGAGGUCUGGAGUUCAAUUCUCCAUAGCUCCACAA